CUCAUUGUUUUAUUUUACUUUUUGGUUGUUGUUGUCGUUGCUUGUGUUGUUGUUGUUGUUGUUUUUAAGGUAGAAAAAGCCCAGCUGAGAGCCAAAGACAUGUUGGUGCCAAGCACUCAUUAGCAGAGACCUCUGGGAUGCUACUCCUCCACCUUGGCUUCUGAAGUGGUUUGUGCUGGUGCCUUUCCCCACGAUCCCAAGCCCAGAUAGUCACUGGGUCAUGCCAGGCCUUAGGGGCCCUGUGCAGGGCUCAGGGUGCCUUAUAUGGGGCUGGGCACCCUGGGUGUGAUGUGCAAAUAGCCUGCUGACCCUCCAGAAUGCUCCAGUGCCUAAAAUCUUAGAAUCAUUAAGCUUGGGAAAGACCACUAAGAUCUAGUCUGACCAUCAACCCAUUAAAGGCAGCAGAUUUUGCAAGUGUGGGAUCUGGUUCUUGCCCUUCCCCAUAGAGAAAGCUCUGGAAAUGAUCUCCAAGCACUGUGCUCUGUCACAACGAGCUUCCGAUCAAUGCCUCUUUGUUAAGCACCAUGUGAACUCCACUCUGCUUUGCACAACCUUGCCUCUGCAAGGUGUCUCACUGAUUUCUCUCUCCUGUUCCCUGAUACUCAUCUCACCCCAAGGGCACUGAAACAGCCCUUGGCAGCACUGUGCUGAGCCGCCCUUCGCUGGGGCAAUCUCACAGCUGAAGCAAAUGUCAGAGGAAUGAGUCCUAAUAGACUUCACAUCACUUAGAACUGAAGGGGAUGUGGAGGUCACAGCAGCUGGACCUCAUUAAAGGGCAAAGCAAUGCAUCAUGCUCCCACCUAUAAAAGACCUUGCACCAAGCACCUCAUUCUCAGUUGGUUCCUUGCACUGUGAGCUCUAAAAGAGGCACUGUCCUGGCCUUGGGUUUGCAUGCUUUUGGGCAAAGGCACUUCAAGAAGAUACCCAGGAACUCUUUGUGGAAGGAGAAAUGGGACGGAGCUUUUUAGCAAUUGCUUGGUGAUCUCUGCAGCACAUGGGCACCCUGCCUCAGUCCUACCUGCGCUCGCCUGCAGGAGUCGGCCUGCGUGUUUAUGGAAAGCACUGAGUCUUCAAAGGGCUUUUCAGAAGGUGGGAUGGACAUACCAACACAGGUUCCUCAAUGGCUGUGGACCACUGCGUGACCACCAUGUAAAUGAGAGGAAACCAGAAAAAGGCAGGCAGGUUUGAGAUUCUGCUUUAGCUCUGUGCCAUGAAAUCCUUGCAUCCUUCAGACUUGCCUUGCAGCUAACGAGCGCUCCGGACCAGACGAUGAGGAAUGCCGUGAUUGAUGUGAUGGAGAGAAUCCUCAGCCACAGGUGCAAGGAGCCCCAUGUCCUCCUCUUCCUCUGCUGCUCUUAUUGGCUACCAUGAAAUGCCCAGCUCUGCCAUUGCUGGGGGUGCUUGGUCACCCCACACCUCCAGCCCUGCACUCAUGCUGCAGCAGGUUCAUUCUCGUAAGCCAGAACCACCUGUUUCUGCCAUUCCCCUUUUUCCAUCUCUGCUUCCCUCUGGCACCGUUUCACUGCAGGAAGACAUCUCCCAAGCUCAAAGCCCUGUGAGGGAGCAGCAGCAAGCUGCAGCACGUCUCCAGUCCCAGCCACAGCCAACGUCUUCAUCUCUCCCAGCGUGCCCAGAGCCGGUCUGACCAGCACCAGCUGCUUGCUCUGACUCGCCCCAAAAAUGCAGCUUCAGUCAAAUGGCAGCAGGGAAGCAAGCAGGGCCAUGGGGUGAGUCCUUAUGGCAUGGGACCUACCGGGCCAUGCACAUCAUAGGCACAGGGCUGUGCUGGCUGGCUCCCAGCCCCCUAAGCUCAAGAGGAGGUUUAGUGGAGAGGAACCAUUGCUUUUCCCUCCUGCAGCUUCGAGGGUGAAACGUGGUGACUUUGGUGCAGGAGCCAAGGAGCAAAGCUUGGUGGGGGCGAUGCUCAGGGUUGCACAGGGGAAAAAUGCAGUAGGGCCCAUGAACAAGGCUUCCUCUCUGCUUCCUUUUCUAGUGGGUUUUCUGCAGCAGAGCACAAGCAGGUCUGGCACAGUGCUGGAAGGAACUUGCUCUUAUGCUGUCACUGCAGAUCAGCCAUGCUGCAGCUCCAGCUGGGAGCCAGGUGAGCUCUGGGAGCCGUGAGUUGCAGAGAGGAACUGGUGAGCUGGGCAUGCGCUGCCAAGUGAGCAGAGCAGCAGCUCUCAGUGGAGCAGCCCAAAGCGAUGAUGGUGCAGGUUUGGGGGCUGAGCUCCUUUCCAGAUAUGGCUCUCCUUGGAAACCUGGGGCUCCCAUACCAUGAGAAAGGACCUACGUUGAGCUGGUUGGGCUGGGAACCUGCCCCUUCCUGCUCCAGAAUAAACCUCCUUGCCAGGCAGGUUUCAGCUUGCUGGGGCUGUCAGCUUGGCGGCUCUCGCUUCUAGUGGUUUUUUUCCUUCUUUAUUGCCUACAUAUCCACCCCAGGGCUUGAGAAAAGGCUGCCUCCUUUGCAGCAUUAGCAAACGUGGCAAUUUUCCCCACUCAGAGUUAUUUCAUACCUGGGCUUUUUUCUCCCACGCUCACUCCUCAUCCCAUAGAGCUGGCCUACCAAAACUAAGCAAAUAAGGACACGAGGUGUGAAAUACAGGGAGAGGCAGAGCAGGGAGCUGCAGACGAAGGGGUGCCACAAGGAAUAAGGGAUACCGAGCAAGUCAGCGUGCUGCACAGAGAACAGGAAGGGAGGAAGUUGCAGCUGUUGUGUGCCUGCCCAUAGCAAUGGGCUCCGGGAAGCAUUGAGAGAAAGGGAGGAAGGAGAGGGCCGAAAAACUGGGAUGUGAUGGGGUUUAUGGUGUGAUCAGUGCUGCUCCCCUAGAUCCUGCCUUCCCUGAAGGCAGAGCGGGGUCUGUUACCCCACCGUGCUGCUCCCUGUCCUGGGAAUUGGCCAUGCUGAUUGCAGCAGCAGUGAAGAUGCGAUCAGCCCCUUUCCUCCCUCCCAAGUCAGAAGAUUGUGUCAUUUAUUCCCCUGUAAACAAAGCAGCCAAAAGAGAAGCCCAGCCCAGAAAUGAGAAACCUUCCUGGAGCCGUGGAGCAGUGCUGGGGCUCCAUCAUGUGAGCUUGGCUGUGUGACAGCUGCCUCGUGCUGGAGCACGGCACCCUAACCCCACCAACAACAGCAGGUCCUCGUGGUCCUGCCUUGCUCUUGUGCUUCCCAGCCUGGGUUCAAUGCUGCUACCUGCUCAGAACGCAUUGGCUGCUUCGAAUGAAUCAAAAUGCUCUUCCAGAGCCCUGCUGGGAAGCAGAGUGUGAUGUGGGGUGAUGUGGUCAGCAACACCUGCUGCACCCUGUCUAUCACAUUUAAAAUAAAACUGCCCUCUGCCUUCUGCAACCAGGUAUCUGCAAUGAGAGGUGCUGGCUAACAUCAACAACAGCGGGGCCAGGAGAACCUGAUGCAAACGGAGCUCAUCUGCUUUCUGACUUCCACCUGUGUUGCAGCACAGCUUUGCUCCAAGCAGUAAACCCAAUGCUGGUUCUGGCAGCCAAGGCUGGAGCAUGCAGUCAGUGGGGCUGUGUUGCACCAAGCACAGCUCAGGGCUCUCUGUGCAGCUGCUCAGUGUAGUAGAAGUGCUUUCUCCCUCCUCUUUCCUCCUGACCCUGCAGUAAAACAUCUGCACAGCAUCAACACCGAUCUGAAGAUGUCCGGCAUCUAAAAGCAUCAUGAGAGCCCUUCCUCAUCAAAGAGCCCGAAUGCCUUUGUUUGCUGCUGCCUGCUGAGGAAGGAUCAGCCCCAAGGACCCUUGCAGUGCACACAGAGCUUGUUUGAAAACUGAUCUCAAUCCGCUGCCUUCGUUUUGGUUUUCUAUCAAGUAGUAACAGCAAAAGAUGUUGAGGGCUGCAGGGAAGUUAAUGGGCACAGCCUACAAAACCUCACCGAGAUGCUGUGAAACCUUUGAACCAGUGCUCAAAUAGAUUUUUAAAUAGAGUCCCAGGCCUCGAUGCACUCAAGGUGAUGAAAGAAAUGAACCAAGAGUUCUGACGGUGCUGCGCACGGAGGAUAAAUGGCUUUCCCAUUGAUAAUGCCAGGGGCUGAAGCCAAGGGAUUCAUCAGCACAUUUUGGCAUCCCAGGGGACUGUGGGACUCCAUCCUCUUGUUAUAUCACACGUUACCAGGAGUGGGUAUGAAGGAAUGUGAGGGUAGCAGCAGCUGGAAGCCCAUCUUGCACCCCAUAAAGCUCCUGAGCAUCUCCAGAGAAUGACAUCAACCCAUGGAUGUGGCUGCAGGGAGGUGAGUGCUAACCCAGCUGUGUUUGUUGCAGGGGAGGAAUCUGCUCUCUCCAUUUUGAUGCUGUGAGGACCUGAGCUGCUUCCCGUCCAUCCAGGACUGCAGAGACUUGCAUUUAGCAACAGCAAGAAGGGGAGGAACACAAAGAUCCUACUGUGCCCCAUCAGGUCUGCUCAUAGCACAUCCAGCAUCCCCUGUGUAACCCUGUAUUUUCAGUUAGCAGGGUCUUGCUGGCAAAAAUAGAGGCAGAAAGAUGUGAGGUUUCUCGCCCCUAACAUGAGGUUGGAGCAGAAAGAAGAGCAGUUUGAUUGCAGAAGUCCUAUCAAUAACCAAACGUGCACCAGUGGACCACAACAUCCACCCGAUGCAGCUCUAAGCUGAAGUUUUCCUCCCCUCGUUGCUUCAAAACAGAGGCGAAUCCCCUAAAGAUGGCCACGAUCCAUUGUGCAACAAGCGACCUAUAUUCCGGCCACAUACCGCAGGAAAGCAACAACAAAAGACAGCGGCAGCUCUUCCCUGCCCCCUUCCCCUCUCCCUGCAGAUGUCUGUCGGUUAAUCCGCGGGGGCACCGGGACCAAACCCACCCCUCCCCUCCCCCCCGGCUGGGUCAGCGGUGUCACAGCAAUCCCCGCAG